rnacentral:rRNA from 1 species
GGCUAACGAGGCGAACCGGGGGAACUGAAACAUCUAAGUACCCCGAGGAAAAGAAAUCAACCGAGAUUCCCCCAGUAGCGGCGAGCGAACGGGGAGGAGCCCAGAGCCUGAAUCAGCUUGUGUGUUAGUGGAAGCGUCUGGAAAGUCGCACGGUACAGGGUGAAAGUCCCGUACACGAAAACGCACAGGCUGUGAGCUCGAUGAGUAGGGCGGGACACGUGGUAUCCUGUCUGAAUAUGGGGGGACCAUCCUCCAAGGCUAAAUACUCCUGACUGACCGAUAGUGAACCAGUACCGUGAGGGAAAGGCGAAAAGAACCCCGGCGAGGGGAGUGAAAAAGAACCUGAAACCGUGUACGUACAAGCAGUGGGAGCCUCUUUUAUGGGGUGACUGCGUACCUUUUGUAUAAUGGGUCAGCGACUUAUAUUCUGUAGCAAGGUUAACCGUAUAGGGGAGCCGAAGGGAAACCGAGUCUUAACUGGGCGUUAAGUUGCAGGGUAUAGACCCGAAACCCGGUGAUCUAGCCAUGGGCAGGUUGAAGGUUGGGUAACACUAACUGGAGGACCGAACCGACUAAUGUUGAAAAAUUAGCGGAUGACCUGUGGCUGGGGGUGAAAGGCCAAUCAAACCGGGAGAUAGCUGGUUCUCCCCGAAAGCU